rnacentral:rRNA from 1 species
GGGGAAUAUUGGACAAUGGGCGCAAGCCUGAUCCAGCCAUACCGCGUGGGUGAAGAAGGCCUUCGGGUUGUAAAGCCCUUUUGUUGGGAAAGAAAUCCAGCUGGCUAAUACCCCGCGGAACUGACGGUACCUGCAGAAUAAGCACCGGCUAACUACGUGCCAGCAGCCGCGGUAAUACGUAGGGUGCAAGCGUUAAUCGGAAUUACUGGGCGUAAAGCGUGCGCAGGCGGUUCGGAAAGAAAGAUGUGAAAUCCCAGAGCUUAACUUUGGAACUGCAUUUUUAACUACCGGGCUAGAGUGUGUCAGAGGGAGGUGGAAUUCCGCGUGUAGCAGUGAAAUGCGUAGAUAUGCGGAGGAACACCGAUGGCGAAGGCAGCCUCCUGGGAUAACACUGACGCUCAUGCACGAAAGCGUGGGGAGCAAACA